GGGCCGGGGGGGGGGUGCUAAUACAUGCAAGUAGAACGCUGAAGAGAGGAGCUUGCUCUUCUUGGAUGAGUUGCGAACGGGUGAGUAACGCGUAGGUAACCUGCCUUGUAGCGGGGGAUAACUAUUGGAAACGAUAGCUAAUACCGCAUAACAAUGGAUGACACAUGUCAUUUAUUUGAAAGGGGCAAUUGCUCCACUACAAGAUGGACCUGCGUUGUAUUAGCUAGUAGGUGAGGUAACGGCUCACCUAGGCGACGAUACAUAGCCGACCUGAGAGGGUGAUCGGCCACACUGGGACUGAGACACGGCCCAGACUCCUACGGGAGGCAGCAGUAGGGAAUCUUCGGCAAUGGGGGCAACCCUGACCGAGCAACGCCGCGUGAGUGAAGAAGGUUUUCGGAUCGUAAAGCUCUGUUGUAAGUCAAGAACGAGUGUGAGAGUGGAAAGUUCACACUGUGACGGUAGCUUACCAGAAAGGGACGGCUAACUACGUGCCAGCAGCCGCGGUAAUACGUAGGUCCCGAGCGUUGUCCGGAUUUAUUGGGCGUAAAGCGAGCGCAGGCGGUUUGAUAAGUCUGAAGUUAAAGGCUGUGGCUCAACCAUAGUUCGCUUUGGAAACUGUCAAACUUGAGUGCAGAAGGGGAGAGUGGAAUUCCAUGUGUAGCGGUGAAAUGCGUAGAUAUAUGGAGGAACACCGGUGGCGAAAGCGGCUCUCUGGUCUGUAACUGACGCUGAGGCUCGAAAGCGUGGGGAGCGAACAGGAUUAGAUACCCUGGUAGUCCACGCCGUAAACGAUGAGUGCUAGGUGUUGGAUCCUUUCCGGGAUUCAGUGCCGCAGCUAACGCAUUAAGCACUCCGCCUGGGGAGUACGACCGCAAGGUUGAAACUCAAAGGAAUUGACGGGGGCCCGCACAAGCGGUGGAGCAUGUGGUUUAAUUCGAAGCAACGCGAAGAACCUUACCAGGUCUUGACAUCCCGAUGCUAUUUCUAGAGAUAGAAAGUUACUUCGGUACAUCGGUGACAGGUGGUGCAUGGUUGUCGUCAGCUCGUGUCGUGAGAUGUUGGGUUAAGUCCCGCAACGAGCGCAACCCCUAUUGUUAGUUGCCAUCAUUCAGUUGGGCACUCUAGCGAGACUGCCGGUAAUAAACCGGAGGAAGGUGGGGAUGACGUCAAAUCAUCAUGCCCCUUAUGACCUGGGCUACACACGUGCUACAAUGGUUGGUACAACGAGUUGCGAGUCGGUGACGGCAAGCUAAUCUCUUAAAGCCAAUCUCAGUUCGGAUUGUAGGCUGCAACUCGCCUACAUGAAGUCGGAAUCGCUAGUAAUCGCGGAUCAGCACGCCGCGGUGAAUACGUUCCCGGGCCUUGUACACACCGCCCGUCACACCACGAGAGUUUGUAACACCCGAAGUCGGUGAGGUAACCUUUUGGAGCCAGCCGCCUAAGGUGAAAAGAUGU
rnacentral:rRNA from 1 species